rnacentral:tRNA from 1 species
GUUGUGCGUAGCUUAAUUGGUAGAGCAUCAGAUUGUGGCUCUGAGAGGUGCGAGUUCAAAUCUCGUCGUACACCCCA